GCACUGGUAGCUCAGUGGUAGAGCGUAGGACUGCAAAUCCCGAGGUCAUGGGAUCAACCCCCAUCCGGUGCU